UACGUAGGGGGCAAGCGUUGUUCGGAAUUACUGGGCGUAAAGGGCGCGUAGGCGGCACAGCAAGUCGGGAGUGAAAGCCCGGGGCUCAACCCCGGAACGUCUUUCGAAACUGCUGAGCUCGAGUGCGGAAGAGGCAACUGGAAUUCCCAGUGUAGCGGUGAAAUGCGUAGAUAUUCGCAAGAACACCAGUGGCGAAGGCGGCUCACUGGCCCGAUACUGACGCUGAGGUGCGAAAGCGUGGGGAGCAAACAGG
rnacentral:rRNA from 1 species